GAUGAACGCUAGCGGCAGGCCUAAUACAUGCAAGUCGGACGGGAUUGAGAUUAAAGCUUGCUUUGAUUUCAUGAGAGUGGCGCACGGGUGCGUAACGCGUGAGCAACCUACCCAUAUCAGGGGGAUAGCCUCUCGAAAGAGAGAUUAACACCGCAUAACAUCAUUUACCGGCAUCGGUUUAUGAUCAAAUAUUUAUAGGAUAUGGAUGGGCUCGCGUGACAUUAGCUAGUUGGAGAGGUAACGGCUCACCAAGGCUACGAUGUCUAGGGGCUCUGAGAGGAGAGUCCCCCACACUGGUACUGAGACAC
rnacentral:rRNA from 1 species